rnacentral:rRNA from 1 species
UACGUAGGGGGCAAGCGUUGUCCGGAUUUAUUGGGCGUAAAGAGCGUGUAGGCGGCUUGGUAGGUCCGCUGUGAAAACUCGAGGCUCAACCUCGAGACGCCGGUGGAAACCAUCAGGCUAGAGUCCGGAAGAGGAGAGUGGAAUUCCUGGUGUAGCGGUGAAAUGCGCAGAUAUCAGGAGGAACACCGAUUGCGAAGGCAGCUCGCUGGGACGUAACUGACGCUGAGACGCGAAAGCGUGGGGAGCAAACAGG